rnacentral:lncRNA from 1 species
UACUGUAUUUCGCAUGUUUUUCUUUUACUAUGUUUCUCAUGAGUUCCUGCUAAGAGCAUGUUAAUGCUCUUAAUUCCUUUUUGAGAUCUCUCAACCUGUUUCGAUUAGUACCUUCUUCCUUGAUUACUAUUCCUCUAAUCUCUGCACUAGAUUGAUGGUAAAAACCCUAGAAUUUGGGGGUUCAUCCGAGUUUUGAGACUGCUGGCUAUGUUAUUUGCUUGAAGUUGUUUGAUUCUAGAAACCCUAACGCCUUUGCACCUAUUUCGAGUUUCUGAAUUUGUUUCAUUUGUGGCUCAAUUGAGUCUUGAAAUCUUUGUUUCAACCUUUGUUUCUUUAAGCAAUUAUGAUAUUUUACUGAACUUUUCUAAGGUCCUUAUACUGGACCCAUUAUAUGCUAUUUGAUACUAUCUCUUCUACAUUGCUGACCUAUGUGACUACCAUGAUCCUAUAGUCUAUUACCUACUGAUUUUGCAAUGGCGUGACAUUUUUCUUUGCCCUAAAUUCAGCCUAACAUAUUAGUGUGCUCUUUAUAUGUGCUUAACUUCCCUCAAAAAAUGGCUUUCAAUUUUGAUUGAUUUCAGACUUCCUUUGUAUAAGUUUGAUUGAUUUAUUUCCUUGUUUGCUAAC